UACGGAGGGUGCAAGCGUUAUCCGGAUUCACUGGGUUUAAAGGGUGCGUAGGUGGAUUGGUAAGUCAGUGGUGAAAUCUCUGGGCUUGACUCAGAAACUGCCAUUGAUACUAUCAGUCUUGAAUACCGUGGAGGUCAGCGGAAUAUGUCAUGUAGCGGUGAAAUGCUUAGAUAUGACAUAGAACACCAAUUGCGAAGGCAGCUGGCUACACGAAUAUUGACACUGAGGCACGAAAGCGUGGGGAUCAAACAGG
rnacentral:rRNA from 1 species